rnacentral:rRNA from 1 species
GGACGAACGCUGGCGGCGUGCCUAACACAUGCAAGUCGAACGGGGAUUUGUUUCGGCAGAAUCCUAGUGGCGAACGGGUGAGUAACGCGUAGGCAACCUGCCCUCCGGCCGGGGACAACACUCCGAAAGGGGUGCUAAUACCGGAUACGAAGUCUGUGCCGCAUGGUACGGAUUUGAAAGAUGGCCUCUGUUUACAAGCUAUCGCCGGGGGAUGGGCCUGCGUCCGAUUAGCUGGUUGGUGGGGUAACGGCCUACCAAGGCGACGAUCGGUAGCCGGUCUGAGAGGAUGAACGGCCACAUUGGGACUGAGACACGGCCCAGACUCCUACGGGAGGCAGCAGUGGGGAAUCUUCCGCAAUGGGCGCAAGCCUGACGGAGCAACGCCGCGUGAGUGAGGAAGUUCUUCGGAACGUAAAGCUCUGUUGUUCCUGACGAACCUCCCUUCUAUCAACAACGGAAGGGACUGACGGUAGGGAACGAGGAAGCCACGGCUAACUACGUGCCAGCAGCAGC